UUGUUUCUCUCGUUUACUGUCAAUCUGUCAUCGUCUAUAUUCCAUAUCGCGCACAGCUUCCAGGGCACCUUCUAGCGUCUCCCUUGCCACCGUCCGCCGCCUUCAGUAGCGGCCAGCUACGACUUGCCGCCUUAUUGCACCGCGGCGCUGCCUAAACUUCAUGUCUACCUCAGUUCAAGUCUCAUCGCAGCAGGGGUGAAGGGGCUCAAGCCCCCCGCCACUGGACAAAACACACCUGAGAGCCUCUUUUAAUUUUUUAACAUAAGAAGGAAGAAAAGAAGUACUUCUUCGGUUUUUUGUUUGUUUGACAAAGUGAUUCUAGCACACAUACAUAGACAAUCAUUUAUUUUUAAUAUUAUGACUAAAAUAUCCCUGUUGGUGUGGCUUAGUACACGUCAGAAACUUUUCUGAGUGCGUGAGUUUUGACGGACUAUUCAAAAUUUAGAGACUGAGGCUUGACGCUCUUUCCUGGCUUUCUCUAGCACCUUUCCUUUGGCCUCUUUGCGUGAGUUUUAAACAAGGCAACUCCUUCCGACCUUUCUUUCUCAUCUAUACUGCUCUUUGAUCUGAACAUAUAUCCUGACGAAACUGAGAGGGGGCAAGCAACGAGUGAGGACUUAUUAACGGAUCCCCCAAGUCAAGAUUGUGGCCGACGAAUUUUGCAGGACUUCGAUUUGAACCUCCAUCCCCAGCAAGAAGUUGCGCGAGACUUUGAUCUGAACCUGGUUCCAGAGCAACAUAUGGAGGCGAAGCACCCCAGUCAAGGCGCGACAGCGGGACACUCAAUAGGUAAACUCUGCAUUCUGAUUUCCUAGUUCGUCCUCCACGUACAAGUUGCCCUGGCUGCCGUGGCCGCCUACUCUGAUUACAUAGUUUGACCUUGCACCUGCGCGGGCCUUGCCUAAGACGGCAGUGCGGCUCCGCGUCUACCGUUGGACACUUGGACCCUAGUGGAGCUUAGAUAGCUUGCCUAAUCCCAGGUCGGCAGCACCUCACCUCACGAGUACGACAGGGAGGGGGCAGCUCCAUGUAGCAGAUCCUAACUGCUAGUGGUGUGUUGAUGUUCGUAUAAUGGUAUAGUUACUACUUCAUUUCCAUUGCUGAUUAGAAGGAGCAUAUAUUACAGCUCGAUCUUCCUAAAAAAAUAGAUUAAAUAACAGCUAUAAAAUAUAUAGUGUUUCCUGUAAGAUUGUUUUGUUCAUUUCUUUACCACCUUCGUUUUUUGUUUCCAUCUGGUUCCGCAAUUUAGUAUUCUUACAGGAAGAAACUCACUAAUGAUAAGAGGAGGGAAGUGUUUAAAACUCUUUUUUUAGAAGCGAUAAAGGGAAGCUAACAAGGGAAAUUAUAGUAGAGGUUGCUGCAUCAUUCUGUGUUAGCCCUAGAACAAUUUAUCGCAUUUGGUAACUUGGAAAUCAAUGUCUCAAAAGGGGUGAGAACAUUGACGUUUCAAAACAGAGGUCCAAUUUGUGGUUGUAAGGUAGUUCAGGUUGAUUUAAGGUUGUUUUAUGAUAUCCCUUUGUCCAAGAGGACCACGUUGGAUGAUUUAUCAGAACACUUGAAUAUUAGCAAAUCCAAAUUUUGGAAGCUUAAGAAGCAAGGCCUGAUAAAGCAUCACUCAAACAGCAUAAAGCCACUGUUAAAGGAGGAGAACAAGAUAGAAAGACUGAAGUGGUGUACUUCCAUGCCUGAUCCAACUAGCAUUGAUACAGACCUGAUGUUCAAGGACUUCUCUAACAUUGUUUUUAUAGAUGAAUAAUGGUUCUAUCUUAUAAGGAAGACUAAGAGGUAUUAUAUUCUUCCAGAAGAAGAGGAGCCUUAUCGGACAUGCAAAAGCAAGAAUUUCAUCCCAAAGGAAAAUUGGGUGUUUUUCUUUAGUUACAUAUGAACCAGCCAAAAGAUCAAGUAAAAAUAGGGUGGGUGGCACCUUAGAGAUGAAGCCCAUUAUGUCUAUUACAAAAGAGAUGAUGCGUUCUAUUAUUAUCGAGAAGGUUCUUCCUGCAAUCUGAGCAAAGUGACCAUGUGAAGGUAUUGGAAAACCGAUAUUCAUCCGGCAAGAUAAUGCCUGCCCACACAUUGACCCCAAUGAUCCUUUAUUUUGUGAAGCAGCAUAACAAGAGGAAUUCAAUAUUCAGCUGAUUUGUCAACCACCAAAUUUGCCGGACUUCAAUAUCCUUGAUUUGGAUUUCUUUGCUGGUAUUCAAGCCAUACAAUACAAGAAGGCUGCUACAAUAGUGUUAGAACUUGUAACUGUUGUUGAACAAGCAUUUCAAGAGUAUUCACCAACAUUGUCAAACCGAAUAUUCUCAACAUUGCAACUUGUCACUAUAGAGGCUAUGAAAGCAGGAGGAGCCGGGAGGCAACACCUAUAAGAUCCCUCAUGUUAACAAAGCUUCGUUAGAAAGAGAACUUGCACUUCUAGCCCAAUUGAAGUGUGAUCCAAAUUUGGUUCAUGAGGUACGUACUGUUGUCGAAGAGGUCUUUUGAUCCUUGU